GUCGCCGACGUGGAGCUGCAGUGCGGCGCACCGGACGCGCGGUGGCGCCCGAGUGCGGGGCUGGCGUCGGCGCGGGCACCAGAGCCGCGGUGGUCUCCGGGAGCUUCUGACCCCGCCGGGACCCGGAGCGGAGAGCCAGGACCCCGCAAACCCGGGCGGGGUCUGUGGGAGGCAGGAGGUGUCCAGCGUCAGGGCCGUUACCUGGCCCGGGAGAAACGCCGGGACUGACCGGGUCGCGAGGCUGAGGAGCACCGCGGGAAAGCUCCGAGGAGGGGCGCCCUCUCCGGCCGGCGCCGGACCCACCUGCCUCCAGGUGCGCGUCCACGGGGGCCGCGGGAGCCGCCGAGUCCUCUGGUCCCUGCUCUCCUGCGGCGUCUGCCUCUCCUCUGCCCACCACGGCUCCUUCUGAGCUGGGGUACUGGCAUUUUCAGAAGCCGAUCGGUCUGCGUGCAGACUAGAGGCCCUCACGCUCCGUUUGUAAGUUGGUGUCCUGAGUCACACAGGAGUAAAAGCCCACCUGAAACACCCAGUUCAUCCGCCCAGACAGAGUCCUCCCAAGCCUGCUGUGCUCCUUUCCUCGUGGGACCCUACAGGAAGCCCAGCCCCUCAUCCAGGAGCACAGCCAUCGUGAGGAGGAAUAUGGAUCUGGUUGCCACUGCCUGCCAUAAAGUGAGGAAGAAGGCAUGAAGUACAGCUUCUUUCUAGCAGAUGUGUCCCAGGGAGCCUGGCAUGGGCAAGGCAGCUCUGUGGUCAGAUUUUAUUUAUUUGUCAGAGCGAGCACAAGCAGGGAGAACAGCAGACAGAGGCAGAAGCAGGCUCCCUGUUGAGCAAGGAGCGGGAUGGGGAACUGGGUCCCAAAAUCCUGGAAUCAUGACCUAAGCCGAAGACAAGCUUAACAGACUGAACUACCCAGGCAAAGGGACAGUCUUCUUACUGGAUAUCCAUCAAGUCCUGGUUCCUUUAUAAUGAAUGUUUCUUUCUUUUGUUUAUCUCUCUCAUGACUCAUGUUACCAUCUAGGCAUCUAGGAUAAGCAAGGUGACACCUUCAAAACAUUGCCCGGACACUUCCUUGGAUGAAUCCCUAAAUUCAUUAGGUCCAUGUCCUACUUUUCACAUUAGCACAGGAACAGUGUUGCUCAACCUCCUGCCAUUAGACUUUAGAUAGCAGGGCCCUCCCUUCCUCCAACUUUUUUUUUUUUUUAAAGAUUUUAUUUUUGAGUAAUCUCUAUACCAAACAUGGGGCUGGAACUCACAACCUCCAGAUCAAGAGCAUAUUCUACCGGUUGAACCAGCCAGGUGCCCCUUCUCCAGCUUCUAGUAGCAUUUUUCCUCACUCUCCUUUGAACAUCCCAGACUUGGGACCAGGGAAACCGGACAGAGCUGUCUUCAGGACUUUGCAGUAUCCUUUUCUGAUUCCUGCCUGCUUUCCAGUAGGAUUUGUUACCAUUUUCGAGUAACAAAUUCUCUGUUAGCUUGUAACCAUUGUGGGUCUUUUCCCUCAUGGAGGGUUGGGUGUUCAGGGGGAAAAAAAACAGAGAGUGUCAGAAGUGGGAUUCGAACCCACGCCUCCAUGCGGAGACCAGAAGUCCCAGGACGGGAAGCUGCGCUUGAGUCUGGCGCCUUAGACCACUCGGCCAUCCUGACACUGCGCCGCGGCUUGCUUCAGUUUCCUACUUCAGCUUUGGCUCUCCCCGGGACUCGCGGCCGAAGCGGAAACUCCGAACUCCGAUGCAGAAGCGCAAAGACCGAGGAGCGCGCGCUCCGCGCGAACCCGAGCCUCUCCUGCAGACCUGGAGACCAGGAAGCCGGCGCCCCUCCCCGCAGCCCGGCCUCGGGCCUCGCAGCGACCCCGCCUGGGACCUGGCCUGGGACCUGCCUGCAGGCCACCGCGAUCUUCGUGAUCCGACCCGCAUCCUGCAGGCCCGGCUCGGCGCACCAGUGUCUGGACGCAGGGGGUCGUUGAGAGACCCGUUCAGGGCAUUUCGAGGCGUUCCUCCUGUCCCCGACAAUGAGGCCACCGGCCGCAGCCACGCGUCAUCUUUCACUUCCCCACACGGGUCGGGAGCCUCCUGCCCCGCGGGGUCGCUCGGGCGCCGCGGGAUAAUGCGGUCCCCCCAUUCUCUAGAGCCCCCAGGGGCCUUUCAGCUACAUCACCCGCCGGGGCGGGGGCCCGACAGCAGCUCCUCUGAAACAGAAGGUUUGCCUUUUAUGCAUCUUCCUCCUACAGACCACAGAACCUGGUUGCACGUCUCCCCCAGGAGAAGAAGGUCCUUCUGGUUCCCUUUCAUCUUUGUUUCGUUUUUGUUUUGCUUGUUUUUAAGACAAGUUCCCAGGCUUCCUUAAGGUCACCAGGAUGGCAGAGCAAGGCAUGACCUCAGGAAAAUCGCUGCCGCCUUCUCUCUAGGAAGAGGGGGCUCUGAGAUGUUGGGGGAGGGGAAGGACGGAGUAACGGAGGGUGCUGCCCUCGCGCGAGGAACGAAAUGGGGCUGCGCGCACGGGGAGAGUGGGAGGAGUCUCGAUCGGGAAGAAGAGAAACCUAGGACUGGAGGGCAAAAUAUUUGAGGAGUAUGGCAAGAACAAAAAUGAGCCUUGUCAGAAGUGGGAUUCGAACCCACGCCUCCAUGCGGAGACCAGAAGUCCCAGAGCGGGAAGCAGGUGCUUGAGUCUGGCGCCUUAGACCACUCGGCCAUCCUGACACGACACGCUGGAGCUGUGCGAAGUAACAACUGUCAGUGACCAAAGACCUUCCAUCCAGGAAGGGAGCGGAGAGCUAUUUCCAGCAGGUGCAGGAGCGAUCGAGCAUUCGGCACGACCUGCAAAACCCGAAGAUGGGACAGGACGAGUUCUGCGGGGAAGCGGCGAGCUGGCGACGGGAUGAACGCAGCUCUGAAGUCCAGGCGCCCACGCCUCUCUGGAGGUCUUUCUUCCUCUCCCCCACGAAUCCUACUGGCUGCGACUUGCAGGACCGGCCUUAGGCGUGGGGCGCUGGGAAUGCAGAUUUGAUCCGCGUGGCGACCGCCGUCUAGGGGGCUCUCCCUGAGGUUCACAGACUCUCCCGCAUCUGGGAGGUCACUGGGUGUGACACCAUCCUCGGGAAGUCAUGACCCCAUGGCUUCUGUCUUAGGAGGUUAACACAAAUUCUGCAGGUUCUGUAGCAGAGGAAAUGAAAAAGAGUGGAAUAGUGGUCCGAAGAUUUCAGAGGGAAAAUUGAGAAGGAAAGAACAGCUCAGAAAGGAAUCAACUAGAAUUUCCCAAGGCUGGAGUUCAUGCAAUAAACAUCACACCUCUGUUUUCGGAAUAUUGGUAGCCAGGCUCAUCUCAAGAAACUGGGGUUCUCUCUGCCCUUGGAGAAGAAUGAUUUCUGGUUCCUUAAGAAGUAUGGAGUAUUGAUAACCAGUCUUUGCAAAAAUCCAUUAAAAAAAUUUUACCUCUGCGGUAGCAAGCACCUUCUAUGUUCAAGACUUUUUUUCUUUUUAAACUUUAGAGCAAUCCGAAUCAUACAAAAGAAUAUGACACAUAACCAUGAAGCCGAAAGGAGAGAAGUCUGGUUUUGAGUAAGUAAGCAGCAGGCCAUGGGCUCAGGUGUGAGCAAAGAUUCCAGCAAGUGGGCCUGCCGUGUCUCAUGAGCGAGCAAAGAUCUGCAGUGAGAGAAGCCGGACGCCUUUUCAUCUGCUUGAUCCUUCCUGCCUUUUACUAGGUUGUAGCUCAAGAUCAAACGUGGAGCUAAAAAAUAGAGCCAGUGUACCCGAGUGGACUCCCGUGCGUGGGUGGUGAGGGGCGGCGCAUUAUAGGGUUCACUGCAGUGGAAGGCCGGACGAAUGGGUGCAAAAAUGGCGCAAUUGGCACAGGGGAGGGUGGGCAGGUGAGAGGGAGAGGGGGGGGGUAGGGACACGGGGAGAGGGUGAAGGAAAGGAGCGUGGAGGAAAGAUGAGGAAUGACAAGGACGGAAUUGCAGAGCGGUGGGUUUCCCAGGGGGUUAGUUUUCCGGACAGAAGCCCCUCUCAGGAGAGGGUGUCACUUUUGUCUGUCUGUUGCUCUGCCACUAACGUCCUAGAACCCCCCAACUCCGAAAGAAAACACGGUUGGAAAGGACAGGAAGUGAACCUCCUGCCUUGUGCCACAACUUCUAUCUCUACCAAGCUUUGGCUCUCCUGAAGUUCUUCCCACUUACAGAAGCCACUGGUGGAAGGGACAGCUCUUCCUCCUGUAAAUACCACCCGAUAAUUGUGGAAGGAAGAAUUGCAAUGCUCAGUGCCAUCAAGCUCAGAUGUACUGCAGAGCUGAGGUGUGUGACCCUUGCACCUGGAAGAGGCUGGUAAUUUCUGAAACCAUGAACAUAGUUAGCAGUUCUUGGAUCUCUUAGUUGUUUUAUAUAGUGAACUAAAUUUUUCCAGGAGGCCUGGGUAGCUCAGUCGGUAGAGCAUCAGACUUUUAAUCUGAGGGUCCAGGGUUCAAGUCCCUGUUCAGGCGAUCCUGGGCAUUUUUACUUCAGUUAAGUCUAUGUAAGUAAAGCUCAUUGAGAACAUCUCUAGAGUGGGAUAUUGGUAACAGCCAAACCAAAGGCAUAUCCUUGAAGAGCUUUAUGUUCUAGUGUUUCAUUAAUUACCUCUACCCAAUAAAAACUGAAAUUUGGGCCCGAGUUGCCAAGAGGAAUUGGAAAAGCACAUAAUGGAAAAAUAAGACACAAGUGUUGGAAUUACCAAGGUGGCCAUUUUAAAGUCCCCUUGACCUGAUUCGUUACUCUUGGAGUGGCAGGGGAGCAAUUUGGGGGAAACCGACAAGAAUUUUAGAAAGCAGUGACUCUGUCCAGUCUGUUCCCACAGUUUAGAUUGACUCUUCCUAUAUAGAAAAUGUGUGGCAUCUUAAAAGCUCCUGCUUGUAAAAGCCAUAAUAUGCAAACACGUUUUGAAAUGGUCUUAGCUGUCUUUUUUGUCUUUACAUUAAAAAGUUUCUGUUGUUAUCCAGAGAUUUGGAUUAUGGUUAAAGACCCCGAUCCUGGGCUCCUAGUGCAUGGUUUCUGUGGGCAGAGUGUUAAACCAGGAGGCUGUGAAUUCAGUUUUUGUAAUUCUUUAUGCUUUUAGCCUGAUGAUAUGAAGUAUAAAUACUGCACUUAA